rnacentral:misc_RNA from 1 species
AAAAGAAAAAUAUAAAUAAAUAAAAUUGACUACUGUUAUAGGAGGAAAAGUAGAAGCAAGCAAUCCAUUUAUUCUUGAAUUUUCUUUUGUGAACGUAUACGCCUCUCAUCAAUCUAACAAAAAAGCCUUAAAACUAUAAAACCUGACUCAAUAUCGUUCCCAUUAUUAUAAUCAUGAUACAACAAAUGCAACAUAUGAAUAUAACUUUUCUGAUUUAUCACCUGAAUCACCUCAACCACUAGCUAGCCUUUGAUGAUCAUGCUGUUGCCUCCCUAAUUUAUCCUCUCAAGGUCGUUCAUAGGGCAUCCAUGCAUAGACAAGAGCCAGCUCUGCGAAGUUGGUUCCAUAUUCUUAAAUAACUUUCUCCCAUGCACUCUACAGAACAACCCUCCCAAAAUUCUCUUGAUCAAGUUGAUAUCUUAACUCCCCAAGUUGACUCUGCAUAGAAAGUGGAAGAUUAGAGCAUAAAAAUGCAUAAUUAAAGAAAAUUUCUAAAACUAAAAUUACUUAACCCCAAAUUUAAAAAAUCCGGGGGGUAAUUACAUCUCAUUAGUAAAAAUUCAACCAUGAAAAUGCCCAAGUUCAUCCUACAGACUGACACGGGCACAAGUGAAGUGCUUUCUCAAUAAUAAUUUUCUAUUUAUAGUUCAACUUAGUUCAACUUUAUCCGAAGCCUCUCUCUAUCAAGAUCAGAAAUAAGGCCCGAUACCCAUCAAAAUGUGGAACCAAAAUUUUCCAUCGACGGACCAUCGCUCAAUUGUUCAACUAAUCCAAGCAAAACAGAAAUAAAUAUUAAAGAAAAGAAGCCAAACCUUGGACACAGCCUCAGCAAUAAGCCUUCCAGACUCAAUCGCCUCCGCUUGCCCAUCUCGAACCGCCAGACAAUCUCUCGGCGUCUCGAACAAAGAAAGCGAGAACUGCUUAGAAACAACACCAACAUCGAAAUAAAUAACACCAGAACUGGGUACAUCGACCCGAAUA